GCUUGCUGCUUUGCUGACGAGUGGCGGACGGGUGAGUAAUGUCUGGGAAACUGCCUGAUGGAGGGGGAUAACUACUGGAAACGGUGGCUAAUACCGCAUAACGUCGCAAGACCAAAGAGGGGGACCUUCGGGCCUCUUGCCAUCAGAUGUGCCCAGAUGGGAUUAGCUUGUUGGUGAGGUAACGGCUCACCAAGGCGACGAUCCCUAGCUGGUCUGAGAGGAUGACCAGCCACACUGGAACUGAGACACGGUCCAGACUCCUACGGGAGGCAGCAGUGGGGAAUAUUGCACAAUGGGCGCAAGCCUGAUGCAGCCAUGCCGCGUGUAUGAAGAAGGCCUUCGGGUUGUAAAGUACUUUCAGCGGGGAGGAAGGUGUUGUGGUUAAUAACCGCAGCAAUUGACGUUACCCGCAGAAGAAGCACCGGCUAACUCCGUGCCAGCAGCCGCGGUAAUACGGAGGGUGCAAGCGUUAAUCGGAAUUACUGGGCGUAAAGCGCACGCAGGCGGUCUGUCAAGUCGGAUGUGAAAUCCCCGGGCUCAACCUGGGAACUGCAUUCGAAACUGGCAGGCUUGAGUCUUGUAGAGGGGGGUAGAAUUCCAGGUGUAGCGGUGAAAUGCGUAGAGAUCUGGAGGAAUACCGGUGGCGAAGGCGGCCCCCUGGACAAAGACUGACGCUCAGGUGCGAAAGCGUGGGGAGCAAACAGGAUUAGAUACCCUGGUAGUCCACGCCGUAAACGAUGUCUACUUGGAGGUUGUGCCCUUGAGGCGUGGCUUCCGGAGCUAACGCGUUAAGUAGACCGCCUGGGGAGUACGGCCGCAAGGUUAAAACUCAAAUGAAUUGACGGGGGCCCGCACAAGCGGUGGAGCAUGUGGUUUAAUUCGAUGCAACGCGAAGAACCUUACCUGGUCUUGACAUCCACAGAAGAAUCCAGAGAUGGAUUUGUGCCUUCGGGAACUGUGAGACAGGUGCUGCAUGGCUGUCGUCAGCUCGUGUUGUGAAAUGUUGGGUUAAGUCCCGCAACGAGCGCAACCCUUAUCCUUUGUUGCCAGCGGUUAGGCCGGGAACUCAAAGGAGACUGCCAGUGAUAAACUGGAGGAAGGUGGGGAUGACGUCAAGUCAUCAUGGCCCUUACGACCAGGGCUACACACGUGCUACAAUGGCGCAUACAAAGAGAAGCGACCUCGCGAGAGCAAGCGGACCUCAUAAAGUGCGUCGUAGUCCGGAUUGGAGUCUGCAACUCGACUCCAUGAAGUCGGAAUCGCUAGUAAUCGUGGAUCAGAAUGCCACGGUGAAUACGUUCCCGGGCCUUGUACACACCGCCCGUCACACCAUGGGAGUGGGUUGCAAAAGAAGUAGGUAGCUUAACCUUCGGGAGGGCGCUUACCACUUUGUGAUUCAUGACUGGGGUGAAGUCGUAACAAGGUAACCGUAGGGGAACCUGCGGUUGGAUCACCUCCUUACCUUAAAGAA
rnacentral:rRNA from 1 species